CCUACGGUGGGUAGCAGUGAGGAAUAUUGGUCAAUGGACGAGAGCCUGAACCAGCCAAGUAGCGUGAGGGAAGACUGCCCUAUGGGUUGUAAACCUCUUUUGUCUGGGAACAAAAGGCUCCACGCGUGGCAUUCCGUGAGUACCCUAAGAAAAAGCAUCGGCUAACUCCGUGCCAGCAGCCGCGGUAAUACGGAGGAUGCGAGCGUUAUCCGGAUUUAUUGGGUUUAAAGGGUGCGCAGGGGGAAGGUCAAGUCAGUUGGGAAAAUGUAGGGCUCAAACCCCAUAGUGCCGUUGAAACUGGUAGUCUUGAGUGAGUGAGAGGUAUGCGGAAUGCGUGGUGUAGCGGUGAAAUGCAUAGAUAUCACGAAGAACUCCGAUUGCGAAGGCAGCAUACUGGAGUUCAACUGACGCUGAUGCACGAAAGUGUGGGUAUCGAACAGGAUUAGAUACCCUUGUAGUC
rnacentral:rRNA from 1 species